rnacentral:lncRNA from 1 species
UUUAUGCCUUUGAGGAACUUGAACACUACAAGGAAGACAGUCCUGUCUCCACCCAGCAGGCCCCACAGUGAGGUGGGAUUAUGUGGCAGGUAGGGUGAGCUCAGUGUCCAAAACCUGCUGUCACCAGCAGGGAGAACUUGGGUCAACUUCUCAGCCAUUCUAAACUCCAGUUACCCACUGAAAAACGGGAUAACAAUCCAACUAAAUUCAGUUUUAUGAUGAGAAUCAAGUAAGAUCAACUAUCUCAAGAGAUGGAGCUCACCAGGUGCCUCUACUAAUCCUUUCAGAACCUGAAGCGAGCAUAGGCUCUACAGAGUCUAGGAUUUUUUUACCUUAAAAAACAGAGAGACAAAGAUGUGCUUAAUAAUGUAGACCUAAAAAGUGUGACUGUACUGCUUUUUCAGGGGAAAAUGAUGUGAUUCUGUGCCUUAGGGUUAGUGAAUGCUGGUUGAAUACAGAGAAAUAACCUGAGAACAUUUCAGGAUCCCAGAUCUGAUCCACUAUUAAAGGGAAGGAGGGUUGGAAGCAUGCUGCCUUUGAGGUGUUCCCCUCCUCACCUUCUUGGGAAUCUCAGCCAUGUGCCUACGGUAAUGACAUCCUGGUUUCCUCCAGUCUUGUGGGAAGAGAUUGUAGAGAAUUUCCUGCUGAGGGAAAUGAAAAGCCUAUAGCAUUGAGAUUCUUUCUCAGAAAUCCAGAAAAGAAAAAAGAGAAACUCAUACAUGAUGGUGGACUUUGAGCCCAGAUGGCUUGGAUUUGAAUCCCAGCUUGGACACUUACUAGCUGUGCAAUGAAGAAGUGAAAACUCAUGGGCCUAACAUCUUCCUGUGUAAGUCUUAGGAUCCUACUUUCACAUGAACACCUGAAAUGGCACUGAGCACCCUGGGACAUACAUGGUUCCUCUGGAAACAACACAAAAAUACCACUUCCCUGAAGCCAACCUUGUCCUGAUACAGCCAACUUGGUCACCUCUUACUUUAACUUUCUUCAUAAAAACCCUAUGCUUGGACUCACUGGAACAGAUGGCUGGUGCUGUAACGGUUGGUGCUCUAUUAAUUUGCUCUUUCUACUCUUCUGGGAACACCCACUCAUGUGCCUGUCAGAAGCUGGGUCACCCUUCUGGGCUGAGUUCAUAUGACAUGUGCCCUGGAACCUUCCAAUCUGUGCUCCUGUGGCAUUUUGGACUUUGCUCACUAAAGUGCUGGUUACAAGGUUUUGCAAUUAACCAGAUAUGGACCCUGAGCUCUAUAAGAGCCCACAUCUCCAUGUGAUUUGUUGUAUGCUCCGUGACUUUCUCUUGAAGGAAUGAAUUGGAUUUUGCUUUGGUUUGAGCAAGUAGGGAAGUCAAGAAGGAAUGGACUUAAAACUUCAGAAGGGCCCAGACUGAGAAAACAUUUGACAGUGGAGAGCUUACUUCCGGUUUAUACUGAAACUUAGCAAAUAUUCACCAUGUGCCCACAACGAGCCAGGGACUGUGGAAGGUUCUGGAAAUGCAUUGAUGAACAAGAUAGCCAAGAUCCCUGACCAUAUUCAAUCAGUCUUUUGCCCUGCUCUACACAUAGAUGUAUUGUAUCCUCUUGUAAUCUGGUUCGACGCUAGGCAUAUUUCUCCAGAUUUAAGUAAAUAAAACUGCAACAUGACUGAAUCUUUCAUUUGGUCUUUGGCGCCUGCAGCAGAAUCUCUUG